CUCCCCUGUAGCUGCUUAAACAUCCCUGAAGUCAAACCACCAUAGACUUCUCCAAGAGUUUGGGGACCCUAGGUCUGGACCCUGUCCCUGGACACAAGCUUCUGGGGUGGAGGAAUAGGGUCAUCUCCUGAAGUGGGAAGAGACACAAGGUACCGUAGAGAUAAAACUGUCCCACACAGCUACACUGGCUGAGGGAUCACCCCUAUAGCCAGUCAGCUCCAUACCUUUCCCUCUGUCCUUUGUAGGGGACGUCCAAUCCCGGCCCUGUACCCCGUGAGGCAGGAUGCUGGGGGCUGAACCCAUGCCAGCUGCUGAGUGGACAGCAGCUGAUCCACCUUGGCCAGGCCCCAGGAUGAGAGACAUCCGGGGAAUGUUCCAAGAACAGAAAGAAAAGCCAUCAGCCUCAAGAGUCCCACUUUCGCCACACGCCUGCCUCCUCUGAUUGAAGCCACAACUUGUUUCCAUCCGGACUGGCCAGGGGCCACCUUAUACUAGCACCCAGAGCCCAUCCCCAGGGCUGAUGAGAAGGUGACAGUUCUCGGUGCUGCUGGGGUCACUACACAGUGGUAUGAAGUCUGGAUUCCAGCCCGUUUGGCUAACAGGGCCUGGUUGUUUUGCACAUCAGGAAGCCUGGGAAGGCACACAGACAUGGCCACCAUACGGAAGUCCCUGCUCUGCCCGGACCCUUGGCAUGCUGCUCUAAGCUUGGUAUUUCAGGAUUUCACAUUUAACGUAUACCUGUUCGGAACUCCUGAUAGUCUGUCUUGGAAUUUUGGCUCUAAACCCUUAGAAAUAUGGCCCAUGUGAGACAGUCUUGUGCUAAGGUCCCCUGGGUGAGUGUCAAGAUUAUAUAUGUGUGUGUGUGUGUGUGUGUGUGUGUGUGUUUGUGUGUGUGUUAUAUUUUCAUCUUAAAAUUAUUUUUAUUGUGUAUGAGAUGGGUAAUGUGUGUACUCAUGCAUAUAUACACACCUGCACAUACACACACGCACAUACAUACACACAUGUAUGUAUAGUUCAUCCACUCUGUUCCUCUCAAGAACAUGCCUCCAUGAGGCAUCCUAUGAGGAUGGCCAAAGCCCAGUGCUAUCUCAACUCCACUAUAUCAGCCUGGCAGGGCUGGUAUUAUCAAUCCAGGCUGAGCAUGAAAAGCACUUGUGCUAGCCACCAACAGAAGCAAAGGCUGCUUUCUUCCCAUGAGCCUCAGGGGGAUGUAGGACCCAAACUAUGUAUCUAUCUACUUCCUGUUCAUGGGUGAGGCCUCCUUUGCGGAGGCCACUGUGGGGCUGCAUCACUAGCUCAGCCCCGUGGGAAGAGCAUCCUUCCCAAAUUCUGGUAGGGACCAGAGCUGCUGGCUCAGUCUGGCACUUGGGGGAAGAUUUUGUAGUUUCACGUAUCAGGAAAAGCUAAGAAAAGGUGUUAACAGCAGCAAGACAGAAACAGGAAAGCUGUCUGUGUGAUGUCACGGGGGACUGAGAAAGUUGUCACAGCUUUGUCCUUAGAGUGAUGCUAGGCUAUGAAGUUGUACCCCAACACUUGGAACUAAUGUUAUGGGGACAGAACGGCCAGCAGAUCCAACAGUAAGGGACAAGAUGGAGCUACUUCUCAAGACCCAGUAGCAUCUCAAAGCCAAUGUCCCAGUUGUCCCCAACUGUCAACACAGUAGUAACAGAAUCUCUGCCAAGACGUGUUUUGAAACUCCAUAACUGAUUUUAGACUUUGCAUGGGAGGGAAAAGGUGGGCGUAUUGCAGAGAAAUCUUACAGGGCAAGCAAAGGACUUGCUGUGUAAUCACUGCCCUACGUCAUUGUGUUUGUGGGUGAGGACUGAGGGGGGACAGAGAACCAAGUUCACAGGGGGCUCAACUGUGCUCUGAAGAGGGCAGGUGGUGUCACUGUGGAAUUAAGAGGGACACGGAAGUUAAGGUGGAGGUGGCUUCCUGAGGUGGCUGUUUCUUAUUCCUAGAAGGAAACAUUUUGAGGAAAACCAUCAGGAAGGCAUGGGGGAGGGUAUCUAAACAGGACGGAAAGGGGAAAGGCUCCACCUGGGGGCCCAAGCCAAGUGCUGUUUAAUGGAUGUCCAGACUUAGGUUUCUCCCAUUCCUAUUGUAUAAAUUGGUUACUUUGUUUCUCUGCUGCUGGGUCUUUUGUCUUUUCCAGUUGUUCAAGAGAGGGACCUAACCCCAGACAAUUAUUAGCUCCAUUGUUACACUUCAAAGGGA